rnacentral:rRNA from 1 species
AUUGAACGCUGGCGGCAGGCCUAACACAUGCAAGUCGAACGAGUGGCGGACGGGUGAGUAAUGUCUGGGAAACUGCCUGAUGGAGGGGGCUAACUACUGGAAACGGUAGCUAAUACCGCAUACCAUCGGAUGUGCCCAGAUGGGAUUAUCUAGUAGGUGGGGUAACGGCUUACCUAGGCGACGAUCACUAGCUGGGCUGAGAGGAUGACCAGCCACACUGGAACUGAGACACGGGCCAGGGUCCUACGGGAGGCAGUAGUGGGGAUGAUUGCAAAAUGGUGGUAAGCCUGAUGCAGCCAUGCCGCGUGUAUGAAGAAGUCCUUUGGGGUGUAAAGUACUGUCAGCGGGGAGGCGUUACCCGCAGAAGAAGCACCGGCUAACUCCGUGCCAGCAGCCGCGGUAAUAC